UGGGGAAUAUUGCACAAUGGACGGAAGUCUGAUGCAGCGACGCCGCGUGGGGGAUGAAGGCUUUCGGGUUGUAAACUCCUUUUGAUGCUGAACAAGGCUCUUUCUAGGGUUGAGGGUAGGUGUUGAAUAAGCGCCGGCUAACUACGUGCCAGCAGCCGCGGUAACACGUAGGGCGCGAGCGUUGUCCGGAAUUAUUGGGCGUAAAGGGCUCGUAGGCGGGUUGUCGCGUCUGCUGUGAAAGACCGGGGCUUAACUCCGGGGUUGCAGUGGGUACGGGCAGACUAGAGUGCGGUAGGGGUAGAUGGAAUUCCUGGUGUAGCGGUGGAAUGCGCAGAUAUCAGGAGGAACACCGAUGGCGAAGGCAGGUUACUGGGCCGUUACUGACGCUGAGGGGCGAAAGCAUGGGGAGCGAACAGG
rnacentral:rRNA from 1 species